rnacentral:rRNA from 1 species
GAGAAAGCCAUGACUUCGGUUGGGCGAGUAAAGUGGCGCACGGGUGAGUAACGCGUAGGCAACCUACCCUUGAAUUUGGGAUAACAGUGCGAAAGUGCUGCUAAUACCGGAUACGACCCUUUUGUGCUGGGCGAAAGGGUGAAAGUCGGCCACUGAAACAAGCCGACGUUCGGGGAUGGGCCUGCGUCCUAUCAGCUGGUUGGUAGGGUAACGGCCUACCAAGGCGACGACGGGUAGCUGGUCUGAGAGGAUGAUCAGCCACACUGGCACUGGAACACGGGCCAGACUCCUACGGGAGGCAGCAGUGAGGAAUUUUGCGCAAUGGCCGCAAGGCUGACGCAGCAACGCCGCGUGGGUGAAGAAGGCCUUCGGGUCGUAAAGCCCUGUCAGGUGGGAAGAACGACACGGGGAGGAAUAUGCUCUGUGAGUGACGGUACCACCAGAGGAAGCACCGGCUAACUCCGUGCCAGCAGCCGCGGUAAUACGGAGGGUGCGAGCGUUAUUCGGAAUUACUGGGCGUAAAGCGCGUGUAGGCGGCCAACCAAGUCUGAUGUGAAAGCCCUGGGCUUAACCUGGGAAGUGCAUUGGAAACUGGCUGGCUUGAGUACUGGAGAGGAAGGGGGAAUUCCCGGUGUAGAGGUGAAAUUCGUAGAGAUCGGGAGGAAUACCAGUGGCGAAGGCGCCCUUCUGGAC